AUUGAACGCUGGCGGCAGGCCUAACACAUGCAAGUCGAGCGGAGCGGCGGACGGGUGAGUAAUGCCUAGGAAUCUGCCUGAUAGUGGGGGAUAACGUCCGGAAACGGGCGCUAAUACCGCAUACUAUCAGAUGAGCCUCGGUCGGAUGAGCUAGUUGGUGGGGUAAAGGCCUACCAAGGCGACGAUCCGUAACUGGUCUGAGAGGAUGAUCAGUCACACUGGAAAUGAGACACGGUCCAGACUCAUACGGGAGGCAGCAGUGGGGAAUAUUGGACAAUGGGCGGAAGCCUGAUGCAGCCAUGCCGAGUGUGUGAAGAAGGCCUUAGGGUUGUAAAGUACUUUCAGCAGGGAGGCGUUACCCACAGAAGAAGCACCGGCUAACUCCGUGCCAGCAGCCGCGGUAAUAC
rnacentral:rRNA from 1 species